rnacentral:lncRNA from 1 species
UUAACUCAUAGUCGACUAAAUGCCAAUAAUCUAGAACCCAUGAACUACCAUUUAGCUUCAAGAUUUUAUUAUUUUAAGAAAGAAAUGAACAAUUAACAGUUGUUGAAACUCAACACUAAGUAGCCACCCUGCAAUUCUGUAAGGCUAAUUGAGAAGGUGCAUUCCUACUAUUUCCUACAUAAUUUCAAAACCAAUUUUGAAUGGCAAUUUUAGGUCCAAACCCCAGCAACAUGAAAUGAAAUUACACAAUAGCUAAACAUAAACUGACUUGUUUAUUCCAUUUUGACUCAUAUUUACAGGUCUCCUUAUAUUCAAGAAAACUUCAACUCCAUCACAAUUUCGAGAGUAUACCAGGAUAGGAAUAGAAUAGAGAAAAGGAGGUAAUAAGUCAUCAAUAAAAGAACAAAAAUCAAUCGACCAAAAUGUUAGUUAAAUCCAGGCUUCAAACAAUCGAUACCCAGCAACUCAGAAGGAGUUCACUCGAACAAAAAUCCAACAGACCUGGAAUCAAUAUUAAAAACCAAGUUAAAUUCAUUUCUGCUUAUAAAUGUAGAGCUACUGUUUUUAGACUUGGAGAUGAACUAGAAAAUCGAUGAAACUACAUAGACUCAAUGAAACAGAAGAGGUUUUCUUCAGCACAACCAGAACUCAAAAGCUUUUUCAAUACGAAAUCAAGCCAUUUUUGUCAAAAGAUUCUAUGUUUUUCUUGUAUUCUGAGAAUAACUUAAAAUCCAAAGCAAACUACUAAUGGAAUAGUGUUCUAAAAUUUUAGCCGCCUCUUGUGUUUUCUGGAUUUUCUCCUCUAAGUCUUACCUUUAAAGGCAAGAAUGCAAGGCUUUAUAGGCCAGCAAAAUAGGGCAACCUUCACAUUCAACUAUUCAUCCUUUACCCCCUUUUAAUUUUAUUUUUUAUUCAAUUCAGUCCUGGGUUCGAAUUCUAAUUUCCUCACCCCAAAUAAUAUCUAAAAAGCCUAUCCUCUCUCAUCGCAUGUGACCCCAACCAUAUCCUUUAAGAAACCUCCCUCAUAACAGAAAUAUUCCAUAUACUAAAUUCCUAGAAUACCCCAUAAAUACCCUGAAACUUACCCCCAGCUAACUAUGCAGAAAAGGGUCAGCUUGACCCAGCACUUAACGGGCCUCUUGCAUGAGUCAAAGAUGACUUCAAGGUCCAAAAAAUAAUGGAAAUAUGUUUUGGAAAUCCAAUAAGAAACAGCAUGAACUAAUUACUCGACUUUUUUUUCUAAUAACUAAAAACUAAACCCAAACAAUUAGUCUCCUUUAAAAUUUAAACAAUGAGCUACAAUUAAGCUACAUUUUUGAAUUAAUUAAAGCCAAAAUAAUACUAGAAAACAAACCAGAACUUAAUGAGCAACAUGUACAAAUUAAACAAAAAUUACAAGAACUUAUACAAGAAAAUUGGAAUGAACAAAGAAACCUAUAUUCCGUGCUUUAAUACCCUACAAAAAAUUAAAACAAAGAACACUUAAAGGAAAUGGGGAGGGGCUGGUAAACAGAAAACAGACAGAACAAGGGUAGAAGAAGAGGGAAACGAGUAUAUGAACAAAUAGAAGAUGAAGAUGAAAAGGCAAAAUGAAGGAAAUACCUCGAAGGCCAUAUGGACGAUGCUUAUAGAACUCAGUAGCUCAAACUUGACUCAAAAAUGGUAUUAUCCUUGUGUUCCCUUUUAGAACAAACGAGCGAUUCUCAUUUUAAGGCCAAUCGAUCAAUAGAACUCGAUGACUUUAGAGAUUUUCUUAUCUUAGAUUUAUAGACAAAAAACUGGUCCAAUUUGGCGAGGAUUUGAUUCGAAUUGGUGGUGUAUUAGGACUUAGGAACCGGUUGAUGGUUGAAUGGUUGGAUUUUGGGGGUGGUUUGUGGUAGGUUGCCAGUGACAAUGGCGAUUUAGGGUUGGAGGAUAUGGAGAAGACGAGACUUGGGGUUGGAGGAACUGAUGUGGUCUCUUUGGAUUUAGAGAGUCUUAUGUGAAAUUGGAGAAGUAUAUACAGUCGUUGGAGGAUUCAGAUCAAUUUGAGUGAUGGGAACUCGAUACUAUGUCGUGUAGGGGCUGAC